rnacentral:rRNA from 1 species
CAGUAACGGCGAGCGAACAGGGAAGAGCCCAGCACUGAAUCGCGCGCCCUGAAGGACGCUGCGAAAUGUAGUGUGUGGGAGAAUCCGCUAUUUCGUGAUUUUGCAUUGCGUCCAAGUCCUUCUUGAACGGGGCCAUUUGCCCACAGAGGGUGCCAGGCCCGUAGUGACCAUUGCUAAUUGCGAAAGGAUUGCUCCUUAGAGUCGGGUUGCUUGAGAGUGCAGCCCUAAGUAGGUGGUAAACUCCAUCUAAGGCUAAAUAAAACCACGAGACCGAUAGCGAACAAGUACCGUGAGGGAAAGUUGAAAAGAACUUUGGAGAGAGAGUUCAAUAGUACGUGAAACCGUUUAAGGGUAAACCUGAGAAACCCGAAAAUUCGAAAGGGGAGAUUCAGUGUGGUUUGCCUUCCACGAGUGCAGUUCGUGGACAGCGAUCGUUCGCGGUUGUUGCUGCGUUCGUGCGCCGUUGAUUGACAAACACAUGCACUUCUCCUCAAGUAGGACGUCACGACCCGUUGGGCGUCGGUCUACGGCUUACGGUGGAGCUCGUUCAGCCUUGUCAACUGUUCGAACCCGUAAUGUCCCGGCCGACUACUCGACGGUAAAGUUUUGGCGCAGAGCCGCGAUUUACUCGCGUCUGGCCCGCUGCAAGCGUGAACGGUUAUUCGAACGUCGGACUUGCGCCGGCCUCGAAGCCCUUCAGCUGUUUGUGCCGGUGCUCUCAGACAGACUUGAUACGCCUGUCUGUGACGCUUUAGCUUUGGGUACUUUCAGGACCCGUCUUGAAACACGGACCAAGGAGUCUAGCAUGUACGCGAGUCAUUGGGACUAGAUAAUCCAAUAGGCGAAAUGAAAGCGAAAGUCGGGCUUGGCCCGACCGAGGGAAGAUGUGUGACUUCGGUCGCUCCGCAUUCCCAGGGCGUCUCAAUCACAUUGCGUGAUGAAGCGCACCCAGAGCGUACACGCUGGGA